AUUGAACGCUGGCGGCAUGCCUUACACAUGCAAGUCGAACGGUAACAGGUCUUCGGAUGCUGACGAGUGGCGAACGGGUGAGUAAUACAUCGGAACGUGCCUAGUAGUGGGGGAUAACUACUCGAAAGAGUGGCUAAUACCGCAUGAGAUCUACGGAUGAAAGCAGGGGAUCGAAAGACCUUGUGCUACUAGAGCGGCCGAUGGCAGAUUAGGUAGUUGGUGGGAUAAAAGCUUACCAAGACGACGAUCUGUAGCUGGUCUGAGAGGACGAUCAGCCACACUGGGACUGAGACACGGCCCAGACUCCUACGGGAGGCAGCAGUGGGGAAUUUUGGACAAUGGGCGAAAGCCUGAUCCAGCAAUGCCGCGUGCAGGAUGAAGGCCUUCGGGUUGUAAACUGCUUUUGUACGGAACGAAAAGCCCUGGGUUAAUACCCUGGGGUCAUGACGGUACCGUAAGAAUAAGCACCGGCUAACUACGUGCCAGCAGCCGCGGUAAGAC
rnacentral:rRNA from 1 species